rnacentral:rRNA from 1 species
GAUGAACGCUGGCGGCGUGCCUAAUACAUGCCAGUCGAGCGAACGGACGAGAAGCUUGCUUCUCUGAUGUUAGCGGCGGACGGGUGAGUAACACGUGGAUAACCUACCUAUAAGACUGGGAUAACUUCGGGAAACCGGAGCUAAUACCGGAUGAUAUUUUGAACCGCAUGGUUCAAAAGUGAAAGACGGUCUUGCUGUCACUUAUAGAUGGAUCCGCGCUGCAUUAGCUAGUUGGUAAGGUAACGGCUUACCAAGGCAACGAUGCAUAGCCGACCUGAGAGGGUGAUCGGCCACCCUGGAACUGAGACACGGUCCAGACUCCUACGGGAGGCAGCAGUAGGGAAUCUUCCGCAAUGGGCGAAAGCCUGACGGAGCAACGCCGCGUGAGUGAUGAAGGUCUUCGGAUCGUAAAACUCUGUUAUUAGGGAAGAACAUAUGUGUAAGUAACUGUGCACAUCUUGACGGUACCUAAUCAGAAAGCCACGGCUAACUACGUG